rnacentral:rRNA from 1 species
GACGAACGCUGGCGGCGCGCUUUAUGCAUGCAAGUCGAACGGACCUUCGGGUCAGUGGCGGACGGCUGAGUAACGCGUAGGCAAUCUGCCCAGUGGUGGGGAUAACUCGCCGAAAGGUGAGCUAAUACCGCAUAAGUUCGGUAGUUGAAAUCACCGCCGAGGAAAGCAGCAAUGCACCACUGGAGGAGCCUGCGUCCUAUCAGGUAGUUGGUGGGGUAACGGCCACCAAGCCGAUGACGGGUAGCUGGUCUGAGAGGACGACCAGCCAGAAGGGGACUGAGACACGGCCCCUACUCCUACGGGAGGCAGCAGC